UUCUUGCACUGUCAGGGACGAUUGAUGCACGUGGUAAGCCGGUCCUUCUCUGUGCAUGCCUUGACAACACUGUUCAGUUGUACGAGCUCCCAUCGUUCACCGAAAGGGGCAAGAUAUUCUCAAGACGAGAAGUUAGGACUCUUCAAACGGCUCCCGGAGGCCUAUUCUUCACGGGAGAUGCUGCGGGGAUACUGACCGUUUGGAACUGGUUGGAUUCUCCAAAGAGCCAAAAAGAGCAGCUUCCUCAACCGAUGGAGUCAUGCUAAGUAGAAGACAGAAUCAAAGCUAUUGACAUUGGAGUUCAAAUUUCGCAAGGAAGACAAUGUCAUCUAUGCUACGAUGCAACUGGGAUUGUGAUUGAGAGCAAGAAACGGGACGGCUGUAGCUGCUGUCUGCCCCGCAAUACCAGUUUUUGGGCUGUCUUUUUUGUACAGACAUUGAUUUUUUUGACAGCGACGGCUGGACUUGUAUAUGAUUCCUGAUUAGUAAUUGAAAUGCCUUUUGCUUGUCGAAUGGAAA